rnacentral:lncRNA from 1 species
AUGUAUUUGUAUCAAUAUAUCAGGAUCUAUACCGAUUACUGGGAGAAAAUGUCGCUAAUUAUGAAUCGAUCUUAUGAAAGAACAACUAUCCACUUUUCAUUCUCAGAUACUUGGCUCGCAAACACAAGACUGAUAUCAUGAAGAAUCCUGCUUUUAGAUCACUGUUUCAUGAGAUGUGUGCAAAAGUAAGGGGUGGAUCCGCUAGCGUCGAAUAAAGGUUUUUGGGCCGAGCCGUUGGGAAUUGGUGAUUUCUAUUAUGAGCUUGGUAAUGAUCUUGUUUAAGAUGUGAAUCUUGUCAUUUCACUGUCAAAUUGAAUUCUAUACUCUGAGAAUGCUUAUUAAAACCUCUACGAGUAAGAACUGAAGAAGGUGAUGGUAAUGAUAAGAAAAUGAAAAAUGGCGUCUGAAACUACUUACCAGAAGCACUAGCUAUAGAGGAGAUGUCGUUAACGAGAAAAGUGGAGAUGGAAGGUCGAUAAGGAGGAUUCACGUAUGAGGUCGAUAAAGAGGAUUCACGUGUGAGGUCGAUAAGGAUGAUUUCACAUAUGUUUGUUUGCUUGUUCGAUAAGGAUGAUUCAGCAUACAACGUGGCGAAUAGUU